rnacentral:lncRNA from 1 species
UGUAGUUUAGUGGUAAGAAUUCUACGUUGUGGCCGUAGAGACCUGGGCUCGAAUCCCAGCAGCCACAUUUUGUUAUCUUUUUUUAUUUCUCCCUAUGCUCUGUUUCUUAUGUGUACUCAACUGGUUGACUAGUUGCAGGGUGGGGAUUGUAGAAGGCUCUGCAGUGCUGCUGGCUUUUUGGAAUUUAAAAACAAGGCUGCGUUUGCACAGUACAUUGACUGCGGCGGAGACACUGUGAAGCGUUGAUUGGUCUCGGAAUUAAUAAAAGCACACGUUUCAGUUCAGAGAAUACAAUCAAAGGAGCCGGAAACAGAGAAGAAGAAAAUUAUGUCAUUUCAAAGAAACAAAUUCCACAAAAAAAAGUAUGAAGAAAAUGCUUGUUUGCGCAGUAGAGUCAAAACUCAGACUUUUAUACCAGAAGUCCAUAACUAGUUUUAAACAUGGAGUGCUUCCUAAUCGCGGUGAAAUAUGCAAGCUUUUUUCUUUCACUGCCAAUUGAAUUAAUCUCAUCUGGUAACUUGUUAUUCUACUCCAUACACAACCAAUAUAUUCUAUUAUGUGCAAGCAAGAUAACAUGAAUAUUCUGCAAAAAGGAAUAAGAGAAAAAGAAGAUGGAAGUGCACGCAACAGUCAGUCCUUUGCUAUAAACAACUCUGCAUGAUUGAAGCACUUACAUAUAUAUUUUAGUAGUAGCAUCUAUACCUUUAACUAUUCUCCCUAAUUAAUGGGAGAUAUGAUCUCUUCUAGAUGUGGUUAUAGUGGCUACCAGUUGUGCCUUUUUCACCUUUGCUAAACCAUUCGCCUCUCCAUGAUAUACUUAAAGCUACUCUGGUUGGUUAUCUCUCCAGUUGUGGGUGGGUGGUUCUGAUUUAGGAAUCUCCCGAAUUAAAGGUGUCAACUUUGAAGAUGAGACAAAGACUUUAUUG